ensembl:processed_transcript 2010204K13Rik RIKEN cDNA 2010204K13 gene
GGUGAGAAUGUAAAGCAAGUCAGAAGCACGGGCUAGAAAUUGCUCACUCUGAAGAGGACUCGCAGUCUGACUCUUCUCCAGUGCGGUGCAGUUUCAGAUGACCCAAGGAGCUGAAGGAUCUCUUUAACACUCUCAGGCCAGGGGUGUGAUUUUGCCAGCUGAAGGCAGUUUACAUUCGGAGUUCCGCGGACUCUUCAGAGGCUGUAAAAAUGCCGGAGUCACGAAAGCCUGCAAAGAGCUGUUGCUUGCCUUGCUGCUGCUGCUGCUACUGCCGUCCCUGCCCGUGCUGCAGCUGCUACUCCUGCUGCUGCUGCUGCUGCUUGUUGCUGAUUGUUGCGGUUGCUGGUUGCUGUUUACUGUUUGCUGCCGGCUGGAUUGCUGGAUUGCUGAUUGCCAGUCGGCGAAAUCCUGGCGAUGAAGAUCCAACUUGCCCCAAGAAACAAGACGACCCUAAGAAGUAGUCUAAUGAUUUCAAUACGCCCUUUCCCCCUCUGACCUUUCUCUCUUACCUUAUGCUGGGGGAUUGGAAGGGUGGCAGAAAAAAGAACCCAAUAAAGUAGCCAAAAGUAAAGUUACUUUGUGGCUUA